rnacentral:rRNA from 1 species
AUUGAACGCUGGCGGCAGGCCUAACACAUGCAAGUCGAACGAGUGGCGGACGGGUGAGUCAUGUCUGGGCAACUGCCUGAUGGAGGGGGAUAACUACUGGAAACGGUAGAUAAUACCGCAUACCAUCAGAUGUGCCGCGAUGGGAUUAGCUUGUUGGUGGGGUAACGGCUCACAAAGGCGACGAUACCUAGCUGGUCUGAGAGGAUGACCAGCCACCCUGGAACGUGGACGCGGUCCAGACUCCUGCGGGAGGCAGCAGUGGGGAAUAUUGCACAAUGGGCGCAAGUCUGACGCAGUCAGCCCGCGUGUAUGAAGAAGGCCUUCGGUUUGGAAAGUACUGUCAGCGGGUAGGCGUUACCCGCAGAAGAAGCACCGGCUAACUCCGUGCCAGCAGCCGCGGUAAUUC